AAAAAAUUUUGACAUUGUUGUCAGACAAAAUGGGUUAUUUUAGAAAUACAGCACUGAAAAUAUUAGCUGUUCAAUGUGCUUUAAAUGCAGACAGCAGAUGUGAUUUGCCCUUGCACACAGAAAUAUCUGCAUCACAGACAUCCAAACUGAGGCCUCAUUUGAAUACUUUGAGCAAAAUCCUGGCUCUGUUGAAGUUGAUGGGAAUUUUGCCAUUAAUUUCAGUUGGGCUUCGGCUUCCUUCUCCAGUGAUGAAAUGUGUGGCAAGGGAGGUAUCCUUGAGGAACACACAGGCUUAUAUGGGAAGAAAAGGAAGAAUUCCACAGCAGGUCACAGAUGAGAAACUCCCUCUGCCUGUUACAGGCCUAGAUUUGAGCACAGAAGAUGUGAGCAGUUUCUGCAGAAGUAGACUGGAGCAAGCACUGGAUCAUCCUCAUUCUAUGAGGGUGAAGAGCAAGUGGUGA
rnacentral:lncRNA from 1 species